rfam:TPA: Bos taurus chromosome 24, whole genome shotgun sequence.
UCCCUGGUGGCUCAGUGGUAAAAAAGCUUCCUGCAAUGCAGGAGAUCCAGGUUCAAUCCCUGGUUUGGGAA